AACACGCUCCUUAGAUCCACCUCUGGAGGGCGCUGGUCUCUGACCAGAGCUCCUCGGCAGCUUUCUGGCUGUACAGUUGGAGGUGCUUGAGUCAUUGGCGUGUGAGAGCAGUCCACCCGUCCCCCAGCCCAGCCGCUGCACCGGCAACCCAGUCAUCAGACCGGGAGCUCCCAGUGCAGCCAGUCUGGGGGACAGACAGA
ensembl:snoRNA small nucleolar RNA, H/ACA box 53